rnacentral:tRNA from 1 species
GGGGGUGUAGCUCAGAGGUAGAGCGCUUGCUUCGCAUGUGAGAAUCCCGGGUUCGAACCCCGGAGCCUCCA